rnacentral:rRNA from 1 species
GAUGAACGCUAGCGGGAGGCUUAAUACAUGCAAGUCGAGCGGUAAUUUAGGAAUAGCAAUAUUUCUGAGCUAGAGCGGCGCACGGGUGAGUAACGCGUACACGACCUGCCCUUUACUGGGGGAUAGCCUUGGGAAACUGAGAUUAAUACCCCAUGGUAUUAUUAUGCUGCAUGGUAUAAUAAUUAAAGCUGAGGCGGUAAAGGAUGGGUGUGCGUCUGAUUAGCUAGUUGGUAGGGUAACGGCCUACCAAGGCGAUGAUCAGUAGGGGGCGUGAGAGCGUGACCCCCCCACACGGGUACUGAGACACGGACCCGACUCCUACGGGAGGCAGCAGUAAGGAAUAUUGGUCAAUGGAGGGAACUCUAGAACCAGCCCAUCCCGCGUGCAGGAU